rnacentral:rRNA from 1 species
GACGAGCGCUGGCGGCGUGCCUAAUACAUGCAAGUAGAACGCUGAAACUUGGUGCUUGCACCGAGCGGAUGAGUUGCGAACGGGUGAGUAACGCGUAGGUAACCUGCCUGGUAGCGGGGGAUAACUAUUGGAAACGAUAGCUAAUACCGCAUAAGAGUAGAUGUUGCAUGACAUUUGCUUAAAAGGUGCAAUUGCACCACUACCAGAUGGACCUGCGUUGUAUUAGCUAGUUGGUGGGGUAACGGCUCACCAAGGCGACGAUACAUAGCCGACCUGAGAGGGUGAUCGGCCACACUGGGACUGAGACACGGCCCAGACUCCUACGGGAGGCAGCAGUAGGGAAUCUUCGGCAAUGGACGGAAGUCUGACCGAGCAACGCCGCGUGAGUGAAGAAGGUUUUCGGAUCGUAAAGCUCUGUUGUAAGAGAAGAACGAGUGUGAGAGUGGAAAGUUCACACUGUGACGGUAUCUUACCAGAAAGGGACGGCUAACUACGUG